rnacentral:rRNA from 1 species
CCCUUAGAUGUUCUGGGCCGCACGCGCGCUACACUGACGAGUGCAACGAGCUUAUAAUAACCUUGGCCGAAAGGUCUGGGUAAUCUCCAAAUUUCGUCGUGAUGGGGAUAGAUUAUUGCAAUUAUUAAUCUUCAACGAGGAAUGCCUAGUAAGCGCAAGUCAUCAGCUUGCGUUGAUUACGUCCCUGCCCUUUGUACACACCGCCCGUCGCUCCUACCGAUUGAAUGGUCCGGUGAAGCGUUCGGACCGUGGCCUUUGGACGGUUCGCCGUCUGUUGGCUGCGGGAAGUUCGUUAAACCUUAUCAUUUAGAGGAAGGAGAAGUCGUAACA